UUUUUUUUUUUUUUUUUUUUUUUUUGCUUUUUAGGGCCACACCCAUGGCAUAUGGAGAUUGGCAGGCUAGGGGUCUAAUUAGAGCUGUAGCCGCCGGGAUACACCUCUGCUCAUGGCAAUGCCAGAUCCUUAACCCACUGAGCAAGGCCAGGGAUCAAACCUGCAACCUCAUGGUUCCUAGUUGGAUUCAUUUCCACUGCGCCACAAUGGGAACUCCCAAGUGUGGCUUAUUUCUUAAAACAUGUUUUUAAAAUACAAAUCCAUGUGACUGUUCACAUUCUUAUUUUGAUCUGGUGCAUUUGGCAUUUAGUGUCACCCUUCUAGGGAUAGUUCUGAAGUCUGUGGAUGGAUUUGGAGGCCUGACAAUUUCCUGCCAGUGAUUCUGGUUCCUUAGGGAAUGUCAGCACUCAUUCUUUACACACUCACUCUGCAUUCAAGCAACUGGUGGGCUUUUAUUCUCCUAAAUCAAGCCGAUUACUCCACCUUCUCUGACUUGAAAAGCAUUGCACCUCUCAUAUUUCAUUUAAGUUUAUUAAUCUUUCUACAUUUAAAUUCUGGAAGAGAAAGGUAGGGAGAGAAGUUAACCAUCACAUAUAAAGAAAAAUAGGAUGAUCCACUGAUUUGAAAUCACAGGGUAGAUUUAAUGGUGAAAUUGUGAUAUCUUAAAAAACUCUAGAGACAUGAUUAAGAUGGUUGAAAAGAAGGACUGGAGCUCAACUUUGCUCCUAAAAACAACAAAAUUAGGACCAAAUGCUGAACAGCCUUCAACCAACUGGACUGGAAAUUUUCAAAAAGAUAUCCUGCUUCAGAAGACAAAGAGGAGGCCACAUCAAGUGGUUGAAGGGGUGAUUAUGUGAUAUAAGCACCCCUAAACCUCCCGGGUGGGAAGUCCACAGUUUGGAAAGUAUCUGUAUCACAGAGACUCACCUACAGGAGUGAGAGUUCUGAGCCCCACAUCAAGUGCCCAUGCCUGGGGAUCUGGCAUUGGGAGAAAGAGCCCCUGAAACAUCUGGCAUUGAAGACCACUAGGGCUUAUGCACAAGAGCUCCACAUGACUGGGGCAAACAGAGACCACAUUCUUGAAAGGCACACACAGGCUUUCAUGUGCCCUGGGUCCCAGGGCAAAUCAGAGGCUCAAAGGAAUCUGGGCCAGACCUGACUGCAGCCUUGGAAAAUUCCCUGGGAAAACAGGGGUGAAUGUGGCUUGUUGUGGGGGAAGGACAUUGGAAACAAAGCUCCUGGGAAUAUUGAUCAGCAUGCCUUUCUCUGGAGGUGGCCAUUUUGGGAAAAUCUGGCCCCACCCAUCGGGCACUGAGGUGCCCCAGGCCAAACAACAGUCCAGGCUGGAUCACAGCCCUGCCCAUCAAUAAAUAGGCUGCCUAAAGACCCCCAGGCAUACAGUUGCCUCUAAUCUCAUCCAGAGACAAAGCCCCACCCACCAGAGGGAUAGGAAUCACCUCCACCUACCAGUGGGCAGGCACCAGUCCCUCCCAUCAGGAAGCCUGCAGCAAGCCCCCAUACCAAUUUCAGCCACAAGGGGGCAUACACCAGAAGUAAGAGAGGCUACAAUUUUAUUUUCUGUUAAAACGUCACCACACCCAAAGCCUGUAAAAAUGAAAAGACAGAGAACUAUAACUGAGAUAAGAGAGAAAGAAAAAUCCUAGAAAAACAGCUAAGUGAUCUGGAGAUUCUCAGCCUCCAAGAAAAAGACUUUAGACUGAUGAUGCUGAAGAUGAUGCAAGACAUUCAAAAUAAACCAGAGGGAAAGAUAGAUAAUUUAGAGCAAACAUUGAGCAAUGAAAUACAAGAUUUAAAACUUAAGCAAGAAGAGAUGCAAAAUACAAUAACUGAAAUGAAAAAUUCACUAGAAGCAACCAACAGCAGAAUACAGGAGGCAGAAGAAUGAAUAAGCAAGGUGGAGGACAGACCAGUGGAAAUCACUGAUGUGGAAUAGAAAGGAGAAAAACAAUUGAAAAGAAAUGAGAGUCUCAGAGAACUCUGGGACAACAUUAAAUGCAUCAACAUCCAUAUGAUGGGGUGCCAGAAGAAGAGUGAGAGAAAGGAACAGAAAAAAUAUUUGAAGAGAUAAUAAAUGAAAACUUUCCUAACAUGGGAAGGGAACCACUCAGUCAAAUCUAAGAGGUGCAACGAAUACCGUAUAAAAUAAACCCAAGGAGGAAUACACCGAGACACAUAUUAAUCAAACUGACCAAAAUUAAAGACAAAGAGAAAAUCUUGAAAGCAGCUAGGGAAAAGAAACAAGUAACAUACAAGGGAACUCAGAUAAGGUUAUUGGCAGAUUUUUCAGCAGAAACUCUGCAGGCCAGAAGAGAGUGGCAUGAUAUACUUAAGGUGAUGAAAGGGAAAAACCUACAACCAAGAUUACUUUACCCAACAAGGCUCUCAUUUGGAUUUGAAGGAGAAAUCAAAAGCUUCACAGAUAAGCAAAAGCUAAGAGAAUUCAGCACCACUAAACCAGCUUUACAACAAAUACUAAAGGAACUUCUCUAGGCAGAAAAGAAAAGGCUGUGACCAGAAACAAAAAUGCCACAAAUGACAAGGCUUUCCAGUAAAGGCAUAUAUACAGUAAAGAUAGGAAAUUAUCCAUUGACAAUUAUACUACCAAUAUCAGAAAUUGUCAGAAGAGGAGCCUACAAAUGCAGGACACUGGGGAUGCACUUGCAAUUAAGAGACCAACAACUUAAAACAAUUGCCUAUUUAUAUUGAGUCCUAUACCAAAACUUCAGGGCAGCUGCAAACCAAAAAUCUGCAAUUGAUACACAAACAAAUAAGAAAAAUCAAUUCAAAUACAAUGCUAAAGAUAGUCAUCAAACCAGAAGAGGAGAGAACAAGAGAAGAAGGGAAGAAAAAAGAGCAACAAAAACAAAUCCAAAGCAAUUCAUAAAAUGGCAAUAAGAACAUACAUACCAAUAAUUACCUUAAAUGUAAAUGGACUAAAUGCCCCAAGCAUAAGACAUGGACUGGCUGGACACAAAAACAAGACCCAUAUGUAUGCUGUCUUCAAGAGACCCAUUUCACUUCUAGGGACACAUACAAAUUGAAAGUGAGAGGAUGGAGUUCCCGUCGUGGCGCAGUGGUUAACGAAUCUGACUAGGAACCAUGAGGUUGAGGGUUUGGUCCCUGCCCUUGCUCAGUGGGUUAAUGAUCCGGCAUUGCCGUGAGCUGUGGUGUAGGUUGCAGACGUGGCUUGGAUCCCGCAUUGCUGUGGCUCUGGCGUAGGCCAGUGGCUGCAGCUCCGAUUCGACCCCUAUCCUGGGAACCUCCAUAUGCUGCAAGAGCGGCCCAA
rnacentral:lncRNA from 1 species